rnacentral:rRNA from 1 species
CCUACGGGUGGCAGCAGUGGGGAAUAUUGCACAAUGGGGGAAACCCUGAUGCAGCGACGCCGCGUGAGUGAAGAAGUAUUUCGGUAUGUAAAGCUCUAUCAGCAGGGAAGAAAAGGACGGUACCUGAGUAAGAAGCCCCGGCGAACGACGUGCCAGCAGCCGCGGUAAGACGUAGGGGGCAAGAGUUAUCCGGAUUUACUGGGUGUAAAGGGAGCGUAGACGGCAGCACAAGGCUGGAGUGAAUGGCCGGGGCUUAACCCCGGAAAUGAUUUGGAAACUGUGCAGCUAGAGUGCAGGUGAGGUUGGUGGCGUUCCUCGUGUAGCGGUGAAAUGCGUAGAUAUUAGGAGGAACCCCAGUGGCGAUGGCGGCUUCCUGGACUGUAACUGCCGUUGAUGCUCGACAGCGUGGGGAGCAAACAGGAUUAGAUACCCCAGUAGUC